UAGCUCAGUUGGUAGAGUGUUUGCCUUGCAUGCACAAGACCCUAGGUUCAAUCCCCAG
rnacentral:tRNA from 1 species